rnacentral:tRNA from 1 species
GUCCAGGGAUGGGAAUCGAACCUACAUUGUUCCGCUUACCGGGCAGAUGCCAUGUCCACUAGGCUACCCUGGA